GACUCUGGCAUCCCUGCUGCUUCCAGACACCAGCGUUUGAGCUCCUGCUACGGAAUACAGGCCUAGGCACACACACACACACACACACACACACACACACACACACACACACACACACCACACACCACACACCACACACCACACACACGCACACCUAUGCACGCACAGCCACACCUUCCCCCAAACACACACACACACACACACACACACACACACACACACACACACACACACACACACACACACACACACACACACACACACACACACACACACACACACACACACACACACACACACACACAGACACGAAACAGAGAGAGAGAGAGACAGAACCCACACUGAGAUCUACAGUUUAGGGUCACAUAAUAGUGAGGUGUAGUGAGCCUAGAGUGCUCUGAAUCUCCCAUCAUAUUAUACAACAGGGUUCAUUCCAUCACACGGGGGAUGUCUUGGCCUGCGUUAAAGCAACACGACCGUCCCGGGCGGUGUCCACUGGUGCUAUAGCUGGACUGUACAUACAUGGAGAGUUGGAUCUGAAACUGAUUGAUGAAGCUAUCUCAGCCCGCGCGCCGAGGUGCGACUGGGGCGUGUACCUCUGCAGCAGGACCUCAAACUGAAGGGCUGGCUAGAGCUCCGAGCUUGUAUGCGCAUGUUUAGCACUGAAGCUUCCAACCAGGAUGUUUAGAAGCAGGGGAGAUGUUGCAACAUGUACCUAGAAGAGCCGACUGCCUCACCAAUGUUCUGUAUACAAUAAACAACAAUGCCAUGUUUACAUUGUAAUCUCCUUAUUCUGAAACGUGGACCUACUCCGCAUAGCUAUAGCCCAGGUACAGUUUCUGCAUCGCUAGAUUAUCACCGUGGAUCAAUUCAACGUCACAUUAGCUCAUGCAUUAACCCCCCCCAACGCAGUGUUAGCUGUUGGGUUGCGUACCAGGGGUGCUACACAUUUGAAACACCAGAACAACUCUUAUCAACUCUUAUUAACACUGGACCUCUAACAGUAGCGCAUGCCACUAAGAAACUCCCCAUGAAACGAAAAGAAACUAAGAAGAGACGAGCGAUAGAGAAAUGGUUUCUUUUUGCAUGCUGACUUUGUUGAUUUCAAAAUGGUCGGUUCACUGCACUACGGCUGAGCCCCCGCCCAGAGGGACACGGUCCUGGGUCUUCAUGCUCUUCACUGCCUUCAUCACCAUGCUCUUUUUCUCAAUGACACCACUGCUCGAGGGUGAGAGAGUGAGUGCAAGGGUGAGAGAGAGAGAGAGAGGGGGGAGAGUGAGUGAGAGUGAGUGAGUGAAUGAGUGAGUGAGAGAGCGACCGGUGUGAGUGAGAGGGAAAAGGUGAGAGAUUAAGUGACAGAGAGAGAGGAAGUAAGAAAGAAUGCAAGAGCGUGAGAGAUGAUGUGAAAAAUGUGAGAGGGAGAAUGUUGGAGAGAGACAGAGGACGUGAAAAUAAGUGAGAGAACGAAGAGAAAAACCACGUGUGAACAUGUGGAGAGCGCGAGGGAGAGAGAACGUAAGAGAGAGAGAGAGCGUGAGAGAGAGAGCGAGAAAGAGAGAUAGAAGGUAAGAGAGAGAGAGAGAGCGUGAGAGAGAAAACGUAAGAGAGAGAGAGAAAGAUAGAAUGUAAGAGAGAGAACGGUGAGAGAGAGAGAGAGAGAAAGUGAGCGAGAAAAGGAGCUAGGACCAUUUUGUCGGCCAUUGCCUUUGCGCCGUGGCCGACCACAGCGCUGCCUCGGACGACCAGACUCUGCCCUCGAGCAGAGGAGGACUCUGGGAGCUGCUCCGCCCCCCCUCCUCCUCCACCACCACCUCCUCCUCCUCCUCCUCCUCCUCCUCCCCACCCACACCAGCUGACAUUGCUGCCUGCUUCACGGACCUGGAAUGUGAAGAAGAGGCGGUACGACCCCAACGCCUCGGCCAUCUAAGCCCCGUCUACUCCUCCUGCUCCUUCUCCUCUUCCUCCUCCUCUGCCCGCCCCCCCGACAGGAGGUGGUGGCGCUAGUAGGGAGGGACCCUCCUCUCCCUCCCCCUGCUCCUCUUCAUCCUCAACGAGGCUUCCCAUUGGCUGGCUCGGGGCCAGCCGGACUGACCUUCGGCGUAAGAUUUACUUGAAGUAAAAAUAAAACACGCAAGAGGAUAAAAGAUAUAGCGGACAUUUUAACAAAUUCCACGGUAGUGGCGUAGAACUGCAGCCGCCCCCCCCCCCCGCCCCCCCCCUCCCCUCUCUCCCCUCCUGAACCCCUCCUGAACCAAGUUCGACUAACGCUCCCCCAAAACAGAGUGAACAGAACUCCUCCUCCUCCUCCUCCUCCCUAGUGCCGGUGCACUGGCAUUCAGGCUGACUCCUCUUCCUCCUCCGACACCACCACCACUCCUCUCUCACCUGGCAUGACCCCCCUCCGCGCGCGCACACAGACACACACACACACAGACACACACACACACACACACACACACACACACACACACACACAGACACACACACAAACAGUCACACA